GAUGAACGCUGGCGGCGUGCUUAACACAUGCAAGUCGAACGGGAUCCAAGGGGUGCUUGCACUUUUUGGUGAGAGUGGGGAACGGGUGAGUAACACGGGAGUAACCUGUCCUUUUCUUUGGGAUAAGCAUUCGACAGGGUGUUUAAUACGUUAUGUUCUGUCUGCGUCGCAUUGGGUGGGUGGGAAAGGCUUUGGUCGGAUUUGUGUGGGCUUGCGUUCUGUCAACUUGAUGGGGUGGGGAUGGCUUACCAAGACUUUGACCGGGAGCGGGCAUGAGAGGGCGGUCGGUCAGAUUGGGACUGAGAUACGGCACAGACGGCAGCGGGAGGCAGCAGUCGGGGAUAUGGCACAGUGGGCGAAAGCCGGAUGCAGCGACGCCGCGUGGUCUAUGGAGGCCUACACGUUGUAAACUUCUUUUACCCUGUACAUAGCAUGCCAGGGAGUGUGUGAAGGGUAGUAGUUGAUAAGCGCCGGCUAACUACGUG
rnacentral:rRNA from 1 species